rnacentral:pre_miRNA from 1 species
UUAGUACUUCCUUCGUUCUGAAUUACUUGUCACAUGUAUGGAUGUAUCUAGAUGUUUUUUACUUUUAGAUACAUUCAUUUUUGCGACGAGUAAUUUCAAACGGAUGGAGUAGAUA